AGUGAACGCUGGCGGUAGGCCUAACACAUGCAAGUCGAACGGCAGCACAGUAAGAGCUUGCUCUUACGGGUGGCGAGUGGCGGACGGGUGAGGAAUACAUCGGAAUCUACUUUUUCGUGGGGGAUAACGUAGGGAAACUUACGCUAAUACCGCAUACGACCUACGGGUGAAAGCAGGGGAUCUUCGGACCUUGCGCGAUUGAAUGAGCCGAUGUCGGAUUAGCUAGUUGGCGGGGUAAAGGCCCACCAAGGCGACGAUCCGUAGCUGGUCUGAGAGGCUGAUCAGCCACACUGGAAAUGAGACACGGACCAGACUCCUACGGGAGGCAGCAGUAGGGAAUAUUGGACAAUGGGAGCAAGCCUGAUCCAGCAAUACCGCGUGGGUGAAGAAGGCCUUCGGGUUGUAAAGCCCUUUUGUUGGGAAAGAAAAGCAGCAGGUUAAUACCCCGCUGUUCUGACGGUACCCAAAGAAUAAGCACCGGCUAACUUCGUG
rnacentral:rRNA from 1 species